rnacentral:rRNA from 1 species
UGCCAGCCGCCGCGGUAAUACGGAGGGUGCAAGCGUUGUUCGGAUUUACUGGGCGUAAAGAGCGCGUAGGCGGCUUCAUAAGUUAAGGGUGAAAUCCCGGGGCUUAACUCCGGAACUGCUCUUAAAACUGUGGAGCUAGAGACAAUCAGAGGUGGGUGGAAUUCCAGGUGUAGAGGUGAAAUUCGUAGAUAUCUGGAGGAACACCGGUGGCGAAGGCGGCCCACUGGGAUUGUUCUGACGCUGAGGUGCGAAAGUGUGGGGAGCAAACAGGAUUAGAUA